AUGAACGCUGGCGGCGUGCCUAAUACAUGCAAGUCGAGCGAACGGACGAGAAGCUUGCUUCUCUGAUGUUAGCGGCGGACGGGUGAGUAACACGUGGAUAACCUACCUAUAAGACUGGGAUAACUUCGGGAAACCGUAGCUAAUACCGGAUAAUAUUUUGAACCGCAUGGUUCAAAAGUGAAAGACGGUCUUGCUGUCACUUAUAGAUGGAUCCGCGCUGCAUUAGCUAGUUGGUAAGGUAACGGCUUACCAAGGCAACGAUGCAUAGCCGACCUGAGAGGGUGAUCGGCCACACUGGAACUGAGACACGGUCCAGACUCCUACGGGAGGCAGCAGUAGGGAAUCUUCCGCAAUGGGCGAAAGCCUGACGGAGCAACGCCGCGUGAGUGAUGAAGGUCUUCGGAUCGUAAAACUCUGUUAGUAGGGAAGAACAUAUGUGUAAGUAACUGUGCACAUCUUGACGGUACCUAAUCAGAAAGCCACGGCUAACUACGUG
rnacentral:rRNA from 1 species